rnacentral:lncRNA from 1 species
UCUACACCACCACGUGGCAGUGCCUGCGGAAAAACUAUAAACGCUACAUCAAAAACCACGAGGGCGGGCUGAGCACCAGUGAGUUCUUUGCCUCUACUCUGACCCUAGACAAUCUGGGGAGGGACCCUGUGCCCGCACACCAGACACAUAGGACAAAAUUUAUCUAUAACCUGGAAGACCAUGAGUGGUGUGAAAACAUGGAAUCCGUUUUAUAGUGACUACAGGAGGGCUGAACUCUGUAUUUGUGAACAAAUUGUCAUUUUUUUUCUUAAAAAAAAAGAAGGAAA